ncrna:unclassified sequences SAM-I/IV variant riboswitch
UUAAAGUAUCAAGAGAAGGAUUAAAUUCCUCUCCAACCUGCCAACUCCGGUAAGGUGGAAAAAAGAUACGGUUAACCAACAAUUAAAGGAGCAAUA